CUCCCCUCGCGCGCUCCCAGGGAGCUGUGGGAACGCGGGCUCGGCCCUGGGAAAUGCAGUUCGCUUUGCGCGUCUUCUGUAGCUUCUUAUUACUAGAAAACAUCAGCUGAUCUUCAAAUGCUUACCAACAUCUAAAGGCUUCCUUUGAUGGCAGUCAUCUGAGACGUGUCUCCAAAUGGGCAUCAAUCACACUGGCCCAACUACAGUCAACAUGCCAAAGGGCUUUGUCUGUAUUUUUAUUAAAAACUCUUAAUGUUGACAUUAUUGUAGUUUUCCCCCCUAUUUUCCCUUUCCUAGCUUCCUUUGAUGGCAGUCAUCUGAGAAGUGUCUCCAAAUGGGCAUUCACACUGGCCCAACUAAAGUCAACUCUACCAAACGAGCCCCUAAUGGAAAAAAUGAAAUGAAUAAAACAUUCAUUUAAAUUCUA